AUUGAACGCUGGCGGCAGGCCUAACACAUGCAAGUCGAGCGGAUGAAGGGAGCUUGCUCCUGGAUUCAGCGGCGGACGGGUGAGUAAUGCCUAGGAAUCUGCCUGGUAGUGGGGGAUAACGUCCGGAAACGGGCGCUAAUACCGCAUACGUCCUGAGGGAGAAAGUGGGGGAUCUUCGGACCUCACGCUAUCAGAUGAGCCUAGGUCGGAUUAGCUAGUUGGUGGGGUAAAGGCCUACCAAGGCGACGAUCCGUAACUGGUCUGAGAGGAUGAUCAGUCACACUGGAACUGAGAUACGGUCCAGACUCCUACGGGAGGCAGCAGUGGGGAAUAUUGGACAAUGGGCGAAAGCCUGAUCCAGCCAUGCCGCGUGUGUGAAGAAGGUCUUCGGAUUGUAAAGCACUUUAAGUUGGGAGGAAGGGCAGUAAGUUAAUACCUUGCUGUUUUGACGUUACCAACAGAAUAAGCACCGGCUAACUUCGU
rnacentral:rRNA from 1 species